rnacentral:rRNA from 1 species
AUACGUAGGGUGCGAGCGUUGUCCGGAAUUACUGGGCGUAAAGAGCGCGUAGGUGGUUUGUCGCGUCGUCUGUGAAAUUCCGGGGCUUAACUCCGGGCGUGCAGGCGAUACGGGCAUAACUUGAGUACUGUAGGGGAGACUGGAAUUCCUGGUGUAGCGGUGAAAUGCGCAGAUAUCAGGAGGAACACCGGUGGCGAAGGCGGGUCUCUGGGCAGUAACUGACGCUGAGGAGCGAAAGCAUGGGUAGCGAACAGGAUUAGAUACCCUGGUAGUCCAUGCCGUAAACGGUGGGCGCUAGGUGUAGGGGUCUUCCACGACUUCUGUGCCGUAGCUAACGCAUUAAGCGCCCCGCCUGGGGAGUACGGCCGCAAGGCUAAAACUUAAAGGAAUUGACGGGG